CCUACGGGAGGCAGCAGUGAGGAAUAUUGGUCAAUGGACGAGAGUCUGAACCAGCCAAGUAGCAUGAAGGAUGACUGCCCUAUGGGUUGUAAACUUCGUUUAUAAAGGAAUAAAACGAGGCACGUGUGCCUUUUUGCAUGUACUUUAUGAAUAAGGAUCGGCUAACUCCGUGCCAGCCGCCGCGGUAAUACGGAGGAUCCGAGCGUUAUCCGGAUUUAUUGGGUUGAAAGGGAGCGUAGAUGGGUUGUUAAGUCAGUUGUGAAAGUUUGCGACUCAACCGUAAAAUUGCAAUUGAUACUGGCAGUCUUGAGUACAGUUGAGGUAGGCGGAAUUCGUGGUGUAGCGGUGAAAUGCUUAGAUAUCACGAAGAACCCCGAUUGCGAAGGCAGCUUACUAAACUGUGACUGACAUUGAUGCUCGAAAGUGUGGGUAUCAAACAGGAUUAGAUACCCGUGUAGUC
rnacentral:rRNA from 1 species